UUGAACGCUGGCGGCAGGCCUAACACAUGCAAGUCGAACGGUAACAGGAAACAGCUUGCUGUUUCGCUGACGAGUGGCGGACGGGUGAGUAAUGUCUGGGAAACUGCCUGAUGGAGGGGGAUAACUACUGGAAACGGUAGCUAAUACCGCAUAACGUCGCAAGACCAAAGAGGGGGACCUUCGGGCCUCUUGCCAUCGGAUGUGCCCAGAUGGGAUUAGCUAGUAGGUGGGGUAACGGCUCACCUAGGCGACGAUCCCUAGCUGGUCUGAGAGGAUGACCAGCCACACUGGAACUGAGACACGGUCCAGACUCCUACGGGAGGCAGCAGUGGGGAAUAUUGCACAAUGGGCGCAAGCCUGAUGCAGCCAUGCCGCGUGUAUGAAGAAGGCCUUCGGGUUGUAAAGUACUUUCAGCGGGGAUGAAGGGAGUAAAGUUAAUACCUUUGCUCAUUGACGUUACCCGCAGAAGAAGCACCGGCUAACUCCGUG
rnacentral:rRNA from 1 species